UCCGAGUUGACCCCGGCAGUCUCCCAUGAGUCCCCGCCAUAACGCGCUGGCAACAUGGAACGAUGGUUGCGCUCGUUGCGGGACUUAACCCAACAUCUCACGACACGAGCUGACGACAGCCAUGCAGCACCUGUGUUCCGGCCAGCCGAACUGAAGGAUCCUGUCUCCAGGACCCAAACCGGACAUGUCAAAGGCUGGUAAGGUUCUGCGCGUUGCUUCGAAUUAAACCACAUGCUCCGCCGCUUGUGCGGGCCCCCGUCAAUUCCUUUGAGUUUCAGCCUUGCGGCCGUACUCCCCAGGCGGGACACUUGUCGCGUUAGCCUGGCCACGGAAGGGCUCGAUCCCCCCCGCGGCGAGUGUCCAUCGUUUACCGCGUGGACUAC
rnacentral:misc_RNA from 1 species